rnacentral:lncRNA from 1 species
CCAAACCUCCAGCAGGUCCCACUUUGGUGUCUCCCAAGUCCCACCAGGUCCCACCUUGGUGACCUCCAACUUCCAGCAGGUGCCACCUUGGUGCCCUUCAAUCUUCUUCAGAUCUUCCAGGUCCCACCUUGGUGCCCCUCAAUGUUCUCCAGGUCCUCCAGGUCCCACCUUGGUGACCCCAAUCCCCAGCAGGUCCCACCUUGGUGCCCCCAAUGUCCAUCAGGUCCCCAAAAUGGAGAGGUCCCCACAGUG